AACUUUUAACAACGGAUCUCUUGGCUCUCGCAUCGAUGAAGAACGCAGCGAAAUGCGAUAAGUAAUGUGAAUUGCAGAAUUCAGUGAAUCAUCGAAUCUUUGAACGCACCUUGCGCCCUUUGGUAUUCCGAAGGGCACGCCUGUUUGAGUGUCA
rnacentral:rRNA from 1 species